rnacentral:rRNA from 1 species
UACAGAGGUCUCGAGCGUUAGGCGGAAUCACUGGGCUUAAAGCGUGUGUAGGCGGGUCGUUAAGUGCCUUGUGAAAUCCCAUGGCUCAACCAUGGAACUGCUGGGCAUACUGGCGAUCUUGUGCCACCUAGGGGCGAGCGGAACAGAUGGUGGAGCGGUGAAAUGCGUAGAUAUCAUCUGGAACGCCAAUGGUGAAAACAGCUCGCUGGGGGUGUACAGACGCUGAGACACGAAAGCCAGGGGAGCGAACGGG